AAGAUUUUAAGUUAAAAAAACUAUUAAUUUUCAAAAUUAAAUAUAAAGAACCACCUUCUUUAAAUCUUA
rnacentral:tRNA from 1 species